rnacentral:rRNA from 1 species
GACCAGACUCCUACGGGAGGCAGCAGUGAGGAAUAUUGGUCAAUGGACGAGAGUCUGAACCAGCCAAGUAGCGUGAAGGAUGACUGCCCUAUGGGUUGUAAACUUCUUUUAUAUGGGAAUAAAACAGGGUAUGCAUACCCUCUUGUAUGUGCCAUAUGAAUAAGGAUCGGCUAACUCCGUGCCAGCAGCCGCGGUAAUACGGAGGAUCCGAGCGUUAUCCGGAUUUAUUGGGUUUAAAGGGUGCGUAGGCGGGCUGUUAAGUCAGCGGUCAAAUGUCGGGGCUCACCCCCGGCCUGCCGUUGAAACUGGCGGCCUCGAGUGGGCGAGAAGUAUGCGGAAUGCGUGGUGUAGCGGUGAAAUGCUUAGAUAUCACGAAGAACUCCGAUUGCGAAGGCAGCCUACUAAACUGCCACUGACAUUGAUGCUCGAAAGUGUGGGUAUCAAACAGGAUUAGAUACCCCAGUA